CAAUAGCGUAUAUUAAAGUUGUUGCAGUUAAAAAGCUCGUAGUUGGAUUUCUGGUGGGAGGGAUCGGUCCUGCAUUCUUUGUAGGAACUUGUAUCCUCUCCGGCCAUCCUUGGGUGGAUCUUGUCUGGCAUUAAGUUGUCAGUCAGGGGAUGCCCAUCGUUUACUGUGAAAAAUUAGAGUGUUCAAAGCAGGCUUAUGCCAUUGAAUAUAUUAGCAUGGAAUAAUAAGAUAGGGCCCUGGUACUAUUUUGUUGGUUUGCGUACCGAGGUAAUGAUUAAUAGGGACAGUUGGGGGUAUUUGUAUUCAGUAUUCAGUGGUGAAAUACUUAGACCUACGGAAGACAAACUACUGCGAAAGCAUUUACCAAGGAUGUUUUCAUUAAUCAAGAACGAAAGUUAGGGGAUCGAAGAUGAUUAGAUACCAU
rnacentral:rRNA from 1 species